GACGAACGCUGGCGGCGUGCUUAACACAUGCAAGUCGAACGAAGUGGCGAACGGGUGAGUAACGCGUAAUCAACCUGCCCUUCAGAGGGGGAUAACAGUUGGAAACGACUGCUAAUACCGCAUACUGAAGGGGGGGAUUGCGUCUGAUUAGCUAGUUGGAGGGGGAACGGCCCACCAAGGCGAUGGUCAGUAGCCGGUCUUGGAGGAUGGACGGCCACAUGGUGACUGAGACACGGGCCAGACUCCUACGGGAGGCAGCAGUGGGGAAUCCUCCGCAAUGGACGAAAGUCUGACGGAGCAACGCCGCGUUAGUGAUGACGGCCUUCGGGUUGUAAAGCUCUGUUAAUCGGGAAGCGGGACCGGAAUAGAAAGCCACGGCUAACUACGUGCCAGCCGCCGCGGUAAUUC
rnacentral:rRNA from 1 species